GACGAACGCUGGCGGCGUGCUUAACACAUGCAAGUCGAACGGAAAGGCCCUGCUUUUGUGGGGUUCUCGAGUGGCGAACGGGUGAGUAACACGUGAGUAACCUGCCCUUGACUUUGGGAUAACUUCAGGAAACUGGGGCGAAUACCGGAUAGGAUCUCCUGCUGCAUGGUGGGGGUUGGAAAGUUUCGGCUGUGGGGGAUGGACUCGCGGCUUAUCCGCUUGUUGGUGGGGUAGUGGCUUACCAAGGCUUUGACGGGUAGCCGGCCUGAGAGGGUUGCCGGCCACCUUGGGACUGAGAUACGGCGCAGACUCGUACGGGAGGCAGCAGUGGGGAAUAUUGCACAAUGGGCGGAAGCCUGAGGCGGCAACGCUGCGUGCGGGAUGACGGGCUUCGGGUUGUAAACCGAUUUCGAAUGUGACGAAGCGUGAGUGACGGUAAUGGGUAAAGAAGCAACGGCUAACUACGUG
rnacentral:rRNA from 1 species